CCUCCGAGCUCCGGGAGCGCCCAGGACCUGCCCUCAGCACAAAAUGGAAGGGCGCCCAAAAACUCGGCACUUCAGCACCAGCAGAAACCGCACAAACACACCCCAAAGCACUUCUGGGGAUAUGGAAAUUAAGGACAGUAACCAAAAACUCCGAAAAACCCCUGAAGACAACGAGCCAACUUAAAACUUGAACAACAAACUGACUUUGACGAUCGGGAAGGAGCCCCUCUACCUUACCAGCACUACAAAUCAUCUCCGAAGCGUCACCAUAACCUAAGAAGAGCCAACUGAGAGCAAAAACCCUAGUCGACGAGCCCAGAAGCGUCUUCCCAGGCACGCCCGUGAGGACGGAAGCCCCAGUUCUGCUGCACAGCAAGACUGACUACUCUGCAUCGCCACAGGGAGCAGCGGCGGUGUGCGCGACCCCUCGGGCCCCCACCCAGAGCUGGUCACUUCAAUAAAGGCAUUCAAAAG